GGUGCCUUCAAGGAGUUGAAACAAUUCAGAAAACAGGAUAACUGCUAAGGCCAUUACAAACAAUGCUGCAGUAAAUAAUCCUUACAUACCUCAUUUCACACAUAUGCAAGCUCCUCUACAGAAAAAAAAUCCUGUAAGUAGAAUGCAGAACCAAAAGAACCUGUAACACCAGGAUAACCGUGAGAAAAACAUCAAAUUAAGGGACAUUCUACAAAAUUCCUGACCAGUACUCCUCAAAACUGUCA